GUGGAACCCAAGGAUUUCCAUAUGCUCACUCGCUAGGCAAACAUUCCACACACAACCUGUGGCAGCUUUUUAGGCUGAACUUUGCUCAAAGCAAGAAAGGCUCCAUUCACUCACCGAAAAGUGCUCAAACUCCCCUAUUGGAAUGGUCAGCAUCUGCAUCUCUAUGCCUGAAGACUCUUUAGCCCUGAACUGAAGAAACACACUCUUGAUACCAACAGUGCUGGGGAAUUUACCAUCCAACCCUGUACUCAGAAGACUUGAGAAAAGCUUCUGUUCCUCAUCUCCACACAUUGUGGUGUUCUAUUUCACAGUUUGCUUCCAGCAUUAAGCUUUAGUCAUUUCCUCUGUCAGCUUGCUAAAUAAAAAUCUGUAAUGGCAAACUUCUUUUUCUUAUUUCAUCCCCACUCUUGAUCUUUGACCUUCCCAAAUAAACAACUUGUUUUCUAAUA